rfam:Myotis brandtii contig286382, whole genome shotgun sequence.
UGUGGCUCAGUGGUUGAGCAUUGACCUAUAAACCAAGGGGUCACUGGUUCGAUUCCAGUCA